CCUGCUCAGGAUGAACGCUAGCGGCAGGCCUAACACAUGCAAGUCGAACGGUAACAUGAGUGCUUGCACUUGAUGACGAGAGGCGCACGGGGGCGUAACGCGUAUGCAACCUACCUUCUACAGGGGGAUAGCCCGGAGAAAUCCGGAUUAAUACCCCAUACGAUCCUUACAACACAAGUUUUGGUUCUUAAAGCUUCGGCGGUUUGGGAUGGGCAUGCGUUCUAUUAGUUAGUUGGUGAGGUAAAGGCUCACCAAGACUUCGAUAGAUAGGGGGCCUGAGAGGGUUGUCCCCCACACUGGUACUGAGACACGGACCAGACUCCUACGGGAGGCAGCAGUGAGGAAUAUUGCACAAUGGACGAAAGUCUGAUGCAGCCAUGCCGCGUGCAGGAUGAAUGCCCUAUGGGUUGUAAACUGCUUUUAUAUAGGAAGAAACCCGAGAACGUGUUCUCGGCUGACGGUACUAUAAGAAUAAGGACCGGCUAACUCCGUGCCAGCAGCCGCGGUAAUACGGAGGGUCCAAGCGUUAUCCGGAUUUAUUGGGUUUAAAGGGUCCGUAGGCGGGAAAAUAAGUCAGUGGUGAAAGCCUGCAGCUCAACUGCAGAACUGCCAUUGAAACUGUUUUUCUUGAAUUCGGUCGAAGUGGGCGGAAUGUGUCAUGUAGCGGUGAAAUGCAUAGAUAUGACACAGAACACCGAUAGCGAAGGCAGCUCACUAGGCCUGAAUUGACGCUCAGGGACGAAAGCGUGGGGAGCGAACAGGAUUAGAUACCCUGGUAGUCCACGCCGUAAACGAUCAUUACUCGUUAUUGGCGAUACACUGUCAGUGACUAAGCGAAAGUGAUAAGUAAUCCACCUGGGGAGUACGAUCGCAAGGUUGAAACUCAAAGGAAUUGACGGGGGCCCGCACAAGCGGUGGAGCAUGUGGUUUAAUUCGAUGAUACGCGAGGAACCUUACCAGGGCUUAAAUGUAUAGUGACAGGUGUGGAAACACAUCCUUCUUCGGACACUUUACAAGGUGCUGCAUGGUUGUCGUCAGCUCGUGCUGUGAGGUGUCGGGUUAAGUCCCAUAACGAGCGCAACCCCUAUUUCUAGUUGCCAGCACAUAAUGGUGGGGACUCUAGAGAAACUGCCCGCGCAAGCGGAGAGGAAGGUGGGGAUGACGUCAAAUCAUCACGGCCCUUACGUCCAGGGCUACACACGUGCUACAAUGGUUGGUACAAAGGGCAGCUACCAGGUGACUGGAUGCUAAUCUCUAAAGCCAAUCUCAGUUCGGAUUGGAGUCUGCAACUCGACUCCAUGAAGCUGGAAUCGCUAGUAAUCGCAUAUCAGCCAUGAUGCGGUGAAUACGUUCCCGGGCCUUGUACACACCGCCCGUCAAGCCAUGGAAGCCGGGGGUACCUAAAGUCGGUAACCGCAAGGAGCCGCCUAGGGUAAAACUGGUAACUGGGGCUAAGUCGUAACAAGGUAGCCGUACCGGAAGGU
rnacentral:rRNA from 1 species